rnacentral:rRNA from 1 species
UACGGGGGGGCAAGCGUUGUUCGGAAUUCCUGGGCGUAAAGGGCUCGUAGGCGGCCCACUAAGUCAGACGUGAAAUCCCUCGGCUUAACCGGGGAACUGCGUCUGAUACUGGAUGGCUAGAGGUUGGGAGAGGGAUGCGGAAUUCCAGGUGUAGCGGUGAAAUGCGUAGAUAUCUGGAGGAACACCGGUGGCGAAGGCGGCAUCCUGGACCAAUUCUGACGCUGAGGAGCGAAAGCCAGGGGAGCAAACGGG